UACGUAGGGGGCUAGCGUUGUCCGGAAUUAUUGGGCGUAAAGAGCUCGUAGGCGGUGUGUCGCGUCGGCUGUGAAAACCUGCAGCUUAACUGUGGGCUUGCGGUCGAUACGGGCAUCACUGGAGUUCGGCAGGGGAGACUGGAAUUCCUGGUGUAGCGGUGAAAUGCGCAGAUAUCAGGAGGAACACCGGUGGCGAAGGCGGGUCUCUGGGCCGAUACUGACGCUGAGGAGCGAAAGCGUGGGGAGCGAACAGG
rnacentral:rRNA from 1 species